rnacentral:rRNA from 1 species
CUUGCAUCAUCUUUAGAAUGAUGCAAGAUCGACUAAGUUGACUAAAAUUCUAGGUAGAAUUAUGAUAAUGACAUUGUCUGCCUAUGUGUCUUGACUAAAUUACGUGCCAGCAGUCGCGGUAAUACGUAGAAGACUAGUGUUAUUCAUGUUUAAUCGGUUUAAAGGGUACCUAGACGGUAAAUCAAGCUUUCUCAUAAGAAAUGGACUAAUUUACUAGAGUUACUUACGGUGGGGCUUUAAAGUACUGCUGGUGUAGAGAUGAAAUUCUAUAAUACCUUUUUUAAAAUAAUGGCACAGGUAUAGGCGAAGGCAUCCCCUUAUGUGAUAACUGACGUUGAGGGACGAAGGCUUUAUGUAACAAACAGGAUUAGAUACCCUAUUAGUCUAAGCAGAAAAUGAUGAAUGUCAUAGAUUAGAUGUAUAAGUUUAUUCUAUAAAUGAAAGUGUAAGCAUUCCACCUCAUGAGUAAUUUGGCAACAUUGGAAUUGAAAUCAUUAGACCGUUUCUGAAACCAG